rnacentral:pre_miRNA from 1 species
CAUCUUCCAGUGCAGUGUUGGAUGGUUGAAGUACGAAGCUCCUAACACUGUCUGGUAAAGAUGGC